rnacentral:rRNA from 1 species
CCUACGGGAGGCAGCAGUGAGGAAUAUUGGUCAAUGGACGAGAGUCUGAACCAGCCAAGUAGCGUGAAGGAUGACUGCCCUAUGGGUUGUAAACUUCUUUUAUAUGGGAAUAAAAUGUUCCACGUGUGGGAUUUUGUAUGUACCAUAUGAAUAAGGAUCGGCUAACUCCGUGCCUGCAGCCGCGGUAAUACGGGGGCUCCGAGCGUUAGCCGGAUUUAUUGGGUUUAAAUGGAGCGUAGGUGGAUUGUUAAGUCAGUUGUGAAAGUUUGCGGCUCAACCGUAAAAUUGCAGUUGAAACUGACAGUCUAGAGGACAGUAGAGGUGGGCGGAAUUCGUGGUGUAGCGGUGAAAUGCUUAGAUUUCGCGAAGAACUCCGAUUGCGAAGGCAGGUCACUGGACUGCAACUGACACUGAGGCUCGAAAGUGUGGGUAUCGAACAGGAUUAGAUACCCUUGUAGUC